AUUUAAAAUACUAUACAAAAUUCUGUCAACCAACAGAAUGUUAUAUAUAUAUCAUACAAUCAUACAUACAAUCUUCCCAGCUCUGCAGAUUUUGCUGUGAGGAGGCAGAGUCAUUAGAUCAUUUAUUUUGGUAUUGCCUGUUUCUGUUCUCAGGUUCAGGAAACCUAUAAAUAGUAUUGUUGGGAGAAUCUGGAGAGAACAGGGAGGUGCUGGAGACAGCCUUAAUCGACGUCCACGUCAUCGGCGCCCAGGGGACCACUUGUUGUUGGGGUUAUUUGCCUUGCUCAAGGGCAGACCGGCAGAUUUUUCCUACUCUCCGGCGUGGGGAUUCGAACCGGAGACAUUUCAGUUACUGGCCCAACACUCUUAACCGCUAGUCUACAAAUGUUCCAACUUUAAUUAAUUAUUUCUCAAUGAUGCUUUAAAGGAGAAGUUUACCCAACAUCCAGAAACUCCUAAGUGAUUCCAUACUAUGAAACUAGUCCAGUGGAGUUUGUCCUCUCCCCCUCUCUCUCCCUGUAGUGUUGUACUGAAACAGCUGCAAAAAUGGGACUUGUGACGUUUCUGGAUGCGGCCGUUGCUUUUCUGCUUUGCCAGUUAAUAAAUGAUUCAGAAAUCCACAAA